rnacentral:rRNA from 1 species
UACGUAGGGUGCAAGCGUUGUCCGGAAUUAUUGGGCGUAAAGCGCACGUAGGCGGCUUUCUAAGUCAGGGGUGAAAUCCUGGAGCUCAACUCCAGAACUGCCUUUGAUACUGGAGAGCUAGAGUCCGGAAGAGGUGAGUGGAACUGCGAGUGUAGAGGUGAAAUUCGUAGAUAUUCGCAAGAACACCAGUGGCGAAGGCGGCUCACUGGUCCGGUACUGACGCUGAGGUGCGAAAGCGUGGGGAGCAAACAGG